rnacentral:sRNA from 1 species
UCCACCAGUAGACUUCGCGCCUCGGCGCG